rnacentral:lncRNA from 1 species
AAAAAAUCAAAGAAUAAGUAAAAAAUUAAUCAUACAAAAUGGACACUAAGACAAUUUUUAUGGCAUUUUUCAUAAUCAACAUUUUAGUGUCAUGUGCGUAUCCAUGUUUGGGCCAAGAAGAUGUUGACGAUAAACCACUAGUCAAUCCCGGUGAGUUUGAUACAUUGGAUGCAUUAUCGCCGGCUUCGCAGGAGUACAAUAUUUAUAUGUUAGAGAACCUCCCACCAAAAUACAAAACGUUUCUCGGAACCUGCGCUGAUAAGAUGGGGCCCAGUGGUAUUUCGGAAUGUAAUGAAGAUGUUCUUAGAGAGAUUCUUACGAACAAACCUGUUUCAAGAGAGUGUUGUUUGAUGGUAGUAAGAGCUGGAAAAGAAUGCUACAUGGAGAUUAGAAAGUUCAUGUUUCGAUUGUAUCAACUCAAACGCUUUGCUUCUCAAGUUUUUUUCAAAACUAAUGAGGUUUGGAACAGAUGUUCUGCUGAAGUUGAAAGUCCUUCAUCUUCUCACGACCACGCGAUUUAGUUAUCUUGAUUGAAUAUUUUGUUAUAUUAUAUGAUUCAUCAUGAAAUAAUGAUUUGUUAUAUUAUUCUAACUAUAUAAAAUAAAAUAAAACAUUCAUCAGCUUAUUCAUUUUCCUAACUCUAAUGUGGUAUAAGAAAACUUUAGUGUGAUAUCUUGGUUGUUCUAACUAGUGUUUGCUUAGCAUAUUUUUUUAUUUUAUCAAAUAUAGAACAUAAGUGCACAUAAAUAUUGUUAAAAAAAAUCAUAUAUUUCUUUCUUUGUAACUCGAAUAAAUUAAUUGAUUUGAAAUUCAAUUAAAUUUAUGAAAAAAUCAAAAGUGAGAGAACGAUAUAGGGAAAACCAAUAGGUAAUUUUCAUUUUUCGUGAAAUGAAAACGUUCAUCUUAUUUUUAUGAUCCUAGUUAGGACCUAAUAGGAAAAUUCCAGAUAACGGGUUGUGAGUUAAUUAUCUAAAACUCUUUUACAAUGUUUUCCACAAAACAUAUAACUUCUCUGUUUUUCAAGGUUUAUAUCAUCUCUUCUUUUGUAAUAAUCCACUUGCAGAUUGAAAAAAUCUUUGUAUUCAUAGGAUCAAAAUAUAGAUUUUCAUGAGGAGACUGAUCAGAGGGACAUUUACUUGAUCAAAGGAACAAUAUGCUUAUGCUUGAUGGGCCAAUACUCUAUGUAAAAAAAAUGCAAAAUAUUUCAAUAGUUCAUAAGCUUUUAUUCAAUUAUAACCAGUAAGAACUCAGAUAAACAUAAACUCAGAGGGAUCAACAAACCAAAAGAAAAAAAUUUCAUGAUUGUCUAUGUUCUUGGUGUUUAUCUCAAACGGCGUUUCAAGUUAUAUAUCCACAGUCAUCCUUGUUCAUGUUUAUGCUUCUUCUUCUUCUUCUUCUUUCUUGAUUGUUAAAAAUUUAUAUAGUACUUAAUCAUAAAGAUCUAUUAGACAAGACUAGAAAAAAUUCUUAUACAAUUCUUUGCAAAAAAAAUGUAUAUGCUUUAUCUACAAAUGAUCUUUGGUUUUGCGAAUUCAUGACUAUUUUAAACCAUGAAAUUUUUCAAGAAACAUAGAUCCAUGUUUCCAUUAGUUACAAUAUUUUACUUAAGUGAAACACUACUAUAUACAUUUCAUAUUGGUGUAAUUUUAUUCUUUACAAAUAUUUAGUAAUUCUAAAUGUUGUUAUGCAAAACAUUUAAAGACACAUGAAACAUAGUGAGUAUUAAAUUAACUAUCAAUGCUUGAAACAUAGAAAUCAAUUUAAAAAUGUUAAUCUUAGAGUUAACUAAAGUAAUAAAAGGAAUUAUGUUAUUUCAAAACAACUAAAAAAGUUAUUUUAUUAAUUAAUACACUCACCAUCAAUAACAUUCAAAACCAUUACUAUAUAUAUACAUUUAGAUAUCAUGGUAAGAGGAGAAAAAAAUCAAAGAAUAAGUAAAAAAUUAAUCAUACAAAAUGGACACUAAGACAAUUUUUAUGGCAUUUUUCAUAAUCAACACUUUAGUGUCAUGUGCGUAUCCAUGUUUGGGCCAAGAAGAUGUUGACAGGAUACUGGAGGAUGUGACGAAACAUGAGUGGUCCAAACAAACAUUUGAGCUUCCCUUGUCUUUGCCCUUCACUCUUGGGAUGGGUCAGCGUAUGAUCUCCCAAGGAACCAACAAGGCUGGUGAAAUCAUUUUCUCCCCAACAACUCUGCCAGGCCGUGCCAAGCCCUUCUAUGUUUUCUACUUCAACCCAGACACGAAGAGCACGAGAAGAGUCCGGAUCCAUGUAAUGAAGGUGUUCUUAGAGAGAUUCUUACGAACAAACCUGUUUCAAGAGAGUGUUGUUUGAUGGUAGUAAGAGCUGGAAAAGAAUGCUACAUGGAGAUUAGAAAGUUCAUGUUUCGAUUGUAUCAACUCAAACGCUUUGCUUCUCAAGUUUCUUUCAAAACUAAUGAGGUUUGGAACAGAUGUUCUGCUGAAGUUGAAAGUCCUUCAUCAUCUCACGAC